rnacentral:lncRNA from 1 species
AACUUAGCCAUAUUCAAGUGACUAAGUCACCUACCAAACCACAUUCAAAAUAAAAAAUCCCCUUUAAAAUCUCUACAUUUAACCAUUUUCAAUCAACUAAGUAUCAAAACAAAACCACAUUCAAAACACAAAAUCUCCUUCAAAGUCCCUAGACUUAACCAUUUUUAACCAACUAAGUCACCUACCAAACCACAUUCAAAACAAAAAAAUUCCCUUUAAAGUUCUCAAACUUAACCAUAUUCAAGUGACUAAGUCACCUAACAAACCACAUUCAAAAUAAAAAAAUCUCCUUUAAAUUCUCUACACUUAACCAUUUUCAAUCAACUAAGUAUCAAAACAAAACCACAUUCAAAACACAAAAUCCCCUUCAAAGUCCCUAGACUUAACCAUUUUUAACCAACUAAGUCACCUACCAAACCACAUUCAAAAUUAAAAAAUCCUCUUUAAAGUCCCUAAACUUAACCAUUUUAAAGCAACUAAGUCACUUAUCAAACUACAUUCAAAAUAAAAAAAUCCCCUUUAAAGUCUCUAAACUUAACCAUUUUCAAGCAACUAAGUUACCUACCAAACCACAUUCAAAAUAAAAAAAUCCCCUUUGAAGUCCCUACACUUAACCAUUUUCAAGAACUAAGUAUCAAAACAAAACCACAUUCAAAAUAAAAAAAAUCUCUUUUAAAGUUCCUAAACUUAAUCAUAUUCAAGUGACUAAGUCACCUACCAAACCAUAUUCAAAACAAAAAAAUCUCCUUUAAAGUCCCUACACUUAACCAUUUUCAACCAACUAAGUAUCAAAGCAAAACCACA